UACGUAGGGUGCAAGCGUUGUCCGGAAUUAUUGGGCGUAAAGAGCUCGUAGGCGGUCUGUCGCGUCUGGUGUGAAAACUCAAGGCUUAACCUUGGGCCUGCAUCGGGUACGGGCAGACUAGAGUGCGGUAGGGGAGACUGGAAUUCCUGGUGUAGCGGUGAAAUGCGCAGAUAUCAGGAGGAACACCGGCGGCGAAGGCGGGUCUCUGGGCCGUAACUGACGCUGAGGAGCGAAAGCAUGGGGAGCGAACAGG
rnacentral:rRNA from 1 species